ensembl:lncRNA
CUGGGCUGGCUGUCAUUUCAGGUCACCAUGGAUUCUGUUCAUUCAGGAGGAGGUGGUUUUCCUGAAGUUCCAAACGCAGUGCUGCAUGGAGAACAGGAUUCUGCUUGUCUGUGAGGGCUGUGAGCUGCUGUCCUGGCUGCAGAGGCAUUAGAAGAGUUGAAACGAUUCUGCUAAUCUGCAAGGCUUGGAAGUGUUAUGAAGUAUUUCUUUGAUUAAAACCAGACGGACUCUUUAGAUGCUCGGAGAGGACACAAAUGCUGAAGGAGAAAAUGACGCAGGAGGGCAGCAGCUUUCAAGGUCUGUGGGAUGUACUAUGAAUCACAGUGUUGAAUGAAAGAUAAAGAAGGUCUUAAGUCCUGGAAGUGAAGAAAUACACUGUAUGUGAUGCAAGAGGCCAGCAAUAGCAGCUUUCUGCAGCUGAGACUCCCAGGAGUGGUCCUGUUUUUGCUCAGAGCAGUGGG